CCCUUAGAUGUUCUGGGCCGCACGCGCGCUACACUGACGGAUUCAACGAGCUUACAACCUUGGCCGAAAGGUCUGGGUAAUCUCCAAAAUCCGUCGUGAUGGGGAUAGAUUAUUGCAAUUAUUAAUCUUCAACGAGGAAUGCCUAGUAAGCGCAAGCCAUCAGCUUGCGUUGAUUACGUCCCUGCCCUUUGUACACACCGCCCGUCGCUCCUACCGAUUGAAUGGUCCGGUGAAGCCUCCGGAUUGGCGCGCACCUCGGUGCCGCCGAGAAGUUGGCUAAACCUUACCAUUUAGAGGAAGGUGAAGUCGUAACA
rnacentral:rRNA from 1 species